rnacentral:rRNA from 1 species
GACGAACGCUGGCGGCGUGCUUAACACAUGCCAGUCGAACGGUAAGGCCUUUCGGGGCCCACGAGUGGCGAACGGGUGAGUAACACGUGGGUGAUCUGCCCUGCACUUCGGGAUAAGCCCGGGAAACUGGGUCUAAUACCGGAUAGGACUGCGCGGUGCAUGCCGUGUGGUGGAAAGAUUUAUCGGUGCAGGAUGGGCCCGCGGCCUAUCAGCUUGUUGGUGGGGUAAUGGCCUACCAAGGCGACGACGGGUAGCCGGCCUGAGAGGGCGACCGGCCACACUGGGACUGAGACACGGCCCAGACUCCUACGGGAGGCAGCAGUGGGGAAUAUUGCACAAUGGGCGCAAGCCUGAUGCGGCGACGCCGCGUGAGGGAUGACGGCCUUCGGGUUGUAAACCUCUUUCAGCAGGGACGAAGCGUGAGUGACGGUACCUGCAGAAGAAGCACCGGCCAACUACGUG